rnacentral:rRNA from 1 species
UACGGAGGGUGCAAGCGUUAUCCGGAUUCACUGGGCUUAAAGGGUGCGUAGGCGGGCAGGUAAGUCCGGGGUGAAAUCUCUGAGCUUAACUCAGAAACUGCCAUGGAUACUAUUUGUCUUGAAUAUUGUGGAGGUAAGCGGAAUAUGUCAUGUAGCGGUGAAAUGCUUAGAUAUGACAUAGAACACCAAUUGCGAAGGCAGCUGGCUACACAUAUAUUGACACUGAGGCUCGAAAGCGUGGGGAUCAAACAGG